rnacentral:misc_RNA from 1 species
GAUGAAGAACGCAGCGAAAUGCGAUAAGUAAUGUGAAUUGCAGAAUUCAGUGAAUCAUCGAAUCUUUGAACGCACAUUGCGCCCGCCAGUAUUCUGGCGGGCAUGCCUGUUCGAGCGUCAUUACAACCCUCAGGCCCCCGGGCCUGGCGUUGGGGAUCGGCGGAGCCCCCCGUGGGCACACGCCGUCCCCCAAAUACAGUGGCGGUCCCGCCGCAGCUUCCAUCGCGUAGUAGCUAACACCUCGCAACUGGAGAGCGGCGCGGCCACGCCGUAAAACACCCAACUUCUGAAUGUUGACCUCGAAUCAGGUAGGAAUACCCGCUGAACUUAAGCAUAUCAAUAAGCGGAGGA